UCUGAUGGAGCACGCCGCGUGAAUGAAGAAGGCCUUCGGGUCGUAAAAUUCUGUUGUCAGAGAAGAACGUGCGUGAGAGUAACUGUUCACGUAUUGACGGUAUCUGACCAGAAAGCCACGGCUAACUACGUGCCAGCAGCCGCGGUAAUACGUAGGUGGCGAGCGUUGUCCGGAUUUAUUGGGCGUAAAGGGAACGCAGGCGGUCUUUUAAGUCUGAUGUGAAAGCCUUCGGCUUAACCGAAGUAGUGCAUUGGAAACUGGAAGACUUGAGUGCAGAAGAGGAGAGUGGAACUCCAUGUGUAGCGGUGAAAUGCGUAGAUAUAUGGAAGAACACCAGUGGCGAAAGCGGCUCUCUGGUCUGUAACUGACGCUGAGGUUCGAAAGCGUGGGUAGCAAACAGGAUUAGAUACC
rnacentral:rRNA from 1 species